GCUCAGGACGAACGCUGGCGGCGUGCUUAACACAUGCAAGUCGAACGGUAAGGCCCCUUCGGGGGUACACGAGUGGCGAACGGGUGAGUAACACGUGGGUAAUCUGCCCUGCACUUCGGGAUAAGCCUGGGAAACUGGGUCUAAUACCGGAUAUGAGCUCCUGCCGCAUGGUGAGGGUUGGAAAGUUUUUCGGUGCAGGAUGAGUCCGCGGCCUAUCAGCUUGUUGGUGGGGUAAUGGCCUACCAAGGCGACGACGGGUAGCCGGCCUGAGAGGGUGAUCGGCCACACUGGGACUGAGACACGGCCCAGACUCCUACGGGAGGCAGCAGUGGGGAAUAUUGCACAAUGGGCGAAAGCCUGAUGCAGCGACGCCGCGUGGGGGAUGACGGUCUUCGGAUUGUAAACCCCUUUCAGUAGGGACGAAGCGCAAGUGACGGUACCUGCAGAAGAAGCACCGGCCAACUACGUG
rnacentral:rRNA from 1 species